rnacentral:rRNA from 2 species
AACGCUGGCGGCGUGCCUAAUACAUGCAAGUCGAACGAACUCUGGUAUUGAUUGGUGCUUGCAUCAUGAUUUACAUUUGAGUGAGUGGCGAACUGGUGAGUAACACGUGGGAAACCUGCCCAGAAGCGGGGGAUAACACCUGGAAACAGAUGCUAAUACCGCAUAACAACUUGGACCGCAUGGUCCGAGUUUGAAAGAUGGCUUCGGCUAUCACUUUUGGAUGGUCCCGCGGCGUAUUAGCUAGAUGGUGGGGUAACGGCUCACCAUGGCAAUGAUACGUAGCCGACCUGAGAGGGUAAUCGGCCACAUUGGGACUGAGACACGGCCCAAACUCCUACGGGAGGCAGCAGUAGGGAAUCUUCCACAAUGGACGAAAGUCUGAUGGAGCAACGCCGCGUGAGUGAAGAAGGGUUUCGGCUCGUAAAACUCUGUUGUUAAAGAAGAACAUAUCUGAGAGUAACUGUUCAGGUAUUGACGGUAUUUAACCAGAAAGCCACGGCUAACUACGUGCCAGCAGCCGCGGUAAUACGUAGGUGGCAAGCGUUGUCCGGAUUUAUUGGGCGUAAAGCGAGCGCAGGCGGUUUUUUAAGUCUGAUGUGAAAGCCUUCGGCUCAACCGAAGAAGUGCAUCGGAAACUGGGAAACUUGAGUGCAGAAGAGGACAGUGGAACUCCAUGUGUAGCGGUGAAAUGCGUAGAUAUAUGGAAGAACACCAGUGGCGAAGGCGGCUGUCUGGUCUGUAACUGACGCUGAGGCUCGAAAGUAUGGGUAGCAAACAGGAUUAGAUACCCUGGUAGUCCAUACCGUAAACGAUGAAUGCUAAGUGUUGGAGGGUUUCCGCCCUUCAGUGCUGCAGCUAACGCAUUAAGCAUUCCGCCUGGGGAGUACGGCCGCAAGGCUGAAACUCAAAGGAAUUGACGGGGGCCCGCACAAGCGGUGGAGCAUGUGGUUUAAUUCGAAGCUACGCGAAGAACCUUACCAGGUCUUGACAUACUAUGCAAAUCUAAGAGAUUAGACGUUCCCUUCGGGGACAUGGAUACAGGUGGUGCAUGGUUGUCGUCAGCUCGUGUCGUGAGAUGUUGGGUUAAGUCCCGCAACGAGCGCAACCCUUAUUAUCAGUUGCCAGCAUUAAGUUGGGCACUCUGGUGAGACUGCCGGUGACAAACCGGAGGAAGGUGGGGAUGACGUCAAAUCAUCAUGCCCCUUAUGACCUGGGCUACACACGUGCUACAAUGGAUGGUACAACGAGUUGCGAACUCGCGAGAGUAAGCUAAUCUCUUAAAGCCAUUCUCAGUUCGGAUUGUAGGCUGCAACUCGCCUACAUGAAGUCGGAAUCGCUAGUAAUCGCGGAUCAGCAUGCCGCGGUGAAUACGUUCCCGGGCCUUGUACACACCGCCCGUCACACCAUGAGAGUUUGUAACACCCAAAGUCGGUGGGGUAACCUUUUAGGAACCAGCCGCCUAAGGUGGGACAGAUGA